rnacentral:hammerhead_ribozyme from 1 species
GCACCGCUGAGGAGUCCCACAAUAGGACGAAACAGCUGUUCAGUAC